UCUCCAUGCAUGGGAAGCUUGUAUGC
rnacentral:piRNA from 1 species